AACGAACGCUGGCGGCGUGCUUAACACAUGCAAGUCGAACGAGAAGUACGUAGCAAUACGUAUUGUAAAGUGGCGCACGGGUGAGUAACACGUGGGUAACCUAACCUCGAGAUUGGGAUAACCCCGCGAAAGCGGGGCUAAUACCGGAUAAGACCACGGGGACCAAAGUCCCUGAGGUAAAAGAUGGCCUCUAUUUAUAAGCUGUCACUUGAGGAUGGGCCCGCGGCCCAUUAGCUAGUUGGUAGGGUAACGGCCUACCAAGGCUUUGAUGGGUAGCUGGUCUGAGAGGACGAUCAGCCACACUGGAACUGAGACACGGUCCAGACUCCUACGGGAGGCUG
rnacentral:rRNA from 1 species